ensembl:snRNA U6 U6 spliceosomal RNA
GUGCUUGCUUUGGCAGCACAUAUACUAAAAUUGGAACGAUACAAAGAGGAUUAGCAUGGCCCCUGCGCAAGGAUGCAACGAUACAGAGAGUACUGCAUGCUCCU